CCUUCUGCAACUUUGGCUUCGCUGUUUGUCUACAACUUUUAUUUGUUAGUUGUGUGAAGGACUGAACCUAUAAAGUUUAGAAGCUGUCUACAAAUUCCAACAAUAGCAAAUUGAAAAGCAAAGGUGCAAUGAGAGUUAAAGAUGUGUGCAUUGUUUUCAGAAUUACUUGCGAUGUGCAAACAAUAGAAGAGAAUAAAAUAAAGGAGAAGCAUACUUGGUUCAAAACUAUUCGAUGGAAUGCCCUCAUGAUAGCAAGACGAUGGAAUGCCCUCAUGAU